GCUUGGCUGGAGGGGAAAAGAAAGAGAGAAGGUCAGGAAGUGCGCUCGGAGAGCUCCUGGCGGAAAGGCUGCUGAAGGAGCAAGAUGCCACCGAGUCUGGAGGAUAUGUUGUUUAUUUUAACUUGACACACAGGCAGGACGGAGUCCUUGCUGUGGGCUGCGGUGCAGUUUUAGAGGCACGGCGGUGCGAGAGCUGUGCCCGGCACGUUCCCCUGGCGGCCUCGGCCCCUGCAGUGACCCUGCACAUUCUGCUGGCCUCACACUCUGCAUCACAGAAAAGGCUCUGAUCUAUGUCCGAUACCCAGAGCCACACAUGAAGCACGUGGCAGCACUAACUGAAUUCCGAAAUCCUGCUCAUAAGCCUGGUGGCUCGGUGGGACGACUGGCUAUUUGUCCUUCUGGCAUGUAGGCAAAUGCACCAACACGGAAUUUGGAGCCCAUGUCCUGGCAGUUUCAGUCCAGAAUUACCACCAUUCUCCCUUUGAAUCUGGCCUUCAGAUCACUGGCUUCUCUAACACCUUUUUAAUGUCUUCAUCAGGAUUUACACCAUUAUUUUCUUGUAUUCUUUUAAUAAAUCCAUUGUGAAAGCAGACCAUAAGGAUAUUUUUCAGUGGAAGAUGGCAACAUAAAUCCAGCUUUAAUGUGCUCCCUGGAAAGUUUGCAGGGUACGUUGCUGGAGGAUUUGUUUCUUCUACAGAAAUUUUCCCAAAUAAAACACAGCAGUUAGAAAAUCCCACUUUUCCCAGUAUGUGAAGUUCCAUGGGAGAUUUGUUAUUACAUUAGAUGAUGAAGUAGAAGAUGUAUUUAGAUGUAUUUAGAUGAUACUGGACCAGGUGCUUGGGAGGCUCCUCCUGAUUGUAGAAAUGCUGAACCUCACAGAAAUGCAAACAAGGAAACAAAAAGCUGCUAGCCUUUGUCAUGUUAAGCUGUCAAGAGAGGAUUAGAUUGGUCAGAACUGGAAUUCCUAUCUGGAUAGGAGAAUGCUCUGAAAUUCAUUUAUAUCUUGAGCUUGAGCAAAACAGAGGUAUUUUUUUCAAAACAAUUGUAAACAGCAAUUCUUGCAAAAUAAAUUUUGACUGGAUUUUAGAGGGAACAGAAAAGCUUCUCUUUGGGAUGUUGCUUGCAUUCUGGGAUGUUGAAUGCAUUCUGGGAUUUGAUUUUUAAAUGUAAGCACUGCCUCUUGCAGUUUCUCAUUUUCACAAUAAUACAUUACCAGUCUCACUCAAAUCCACAUCACUCAUACAGAACACAGGACUAGAAAUGCUUUAUUUCUUCAUGCAGUCUUGAAGGAAAGAUGCUCUGGAUGUUUCUUGGAAAAAACAAAACAGCUCCUGCCCCUGAUGUUUGUGGUGGUGAGUCAGGUAAUGCAGUUUGACUGUGUGACAGCCACAGCCCUCACAGCCACCCCUCCUGGCACUGCCACCAGCAUCACUGCUUUGGUGACAAACCCCUGCUUAUCCCCAGCUGCCCCCCCACCACUUAUGUCCACACCACGCCCUCUGACAGGCAGGUGGGGUUUGCAAUUUUCCAACUUUUUUGCCAGUGGAAAAACAGCAGCCUGCCAGGUGUCCCCCCAGCUGUCUCCCCCCCCACACCCCCACCCCCGUCAUAUCUACCCUUCCCUGUGCUGGUCAGAGAGGUGGAGGUGACACUCAUAUUUUCUGGAGCCCAUUUCAAAAGCAGCAGGCUUUGCUCAGCGUGGCAGCAGGGGAGUUGCCAUAGACAGGUAAAAGAAAGGCCUCAUAAAAUCAGGCCUGCUCUGCUGGAUUGAUAGCUGGCCUGUCAUUUCUUCUAAGUGCAGCUUUAAAUUUGCAAGUUCCCAUGUGAAAACAAUCUUGGUAUGAAUACUUUGUUAACAUAACAACCUAUUCUUGGGUGAAAAAUAAGUACACCUGCAUAAACAUUAGUUCUGAUGAGAACCCACAAAAGAAAAAUGUAAACAACCUGAACCUUAGUAUGUAUGUACAAAUCAUCUUCUGAUCAGUAGAGUAGUAAGAAAACUACCAGCCAAUAGAUGUUGCAUAUAAGGUCUGUGAAAACUGUGUAAAAUAAGUUAUGUGAAUAAAGAUUUGGCUUUUCCC